rnacentral:rRNA from 1 species
GGUUACUGCUAUCGGUGUUUGCCUAAGCCAUGCGAGUCAAAUGUUCUUCGUGAACAUGGCGUACUGCUCAGUAACACGUGGAUAACCUGCCCUCAGGUCUGGCAUAACCCCGGGAAACUGGGGAUAAUUCCGGAUAACGCAUAUAUGCUGGAAUGCUUUAUGCGUCAAAGGUCCUCCGCCUGAGGAUGGGUCUGCGGCCUAUCAGGUAGUAGCGGGUGUAAUGUACCUGCUAGCCGACGACGGGUACGGGUUGUGAGAGCAAGAGCCCGGAGAUGGAUUCAGAGACAUGAAUCCAGGCCCUACGGGGCGCAGCAGGCGCGAAAACUUUACAAUGCGGGCAACCGUGAUAAGGGGACACCGAGUGCCAGCAACAUUUGCUGGCUGUCCAUGUGCGUAAAAUGCACGUGUUAGCAAGGSCCGGGCAAGACCGGUGCCAGCCGCCGCGGUAACACCGGCGGCCCGAGUGGUGAUCGUUAUUAUUGGGUCUAAAGGGUCCGUAGCCGGUUUGGUCAGUCUUCCGGGAAAUCUGUCAGCUCAACUGAUAGGCUAUCGGGGGAUACUGCUAGACUUGGAACCGGGAGAGGUAAGAGGUACUACAGGGGUAGGAGUNAAAUCUUGUAAUCCCCUGUGGGACCACCUGUGGCGAAGGCGUCUUACCANAACGGGUUCGACGGUGAGGGACGAAAGCUGGGGGCACGAACCGGAUUAGAUACCCGGGUAGUCCCANCCGUAAACGAUGCUCGCUAGGUGUCAUGCAUGGUGCGACCGUGUAUGGUGCCGUAGGGAAGCCGUGGAGCGAGCCACCUGGGAAGUACGGCCGCAAGGCUGAAACUUAAAGGAAUUGGCGGGGGAGCACAACAACGGGUGGAGCCUGCGGUUUAAUUGGAUUCAACGCCGGGAAUCGAAUU